AAAACUUUCAACAACGGAUCUCUUGGUUCUGGCAUCGAUGAAGAACGCAG
rnacentral:rRNA from 1 species